GACGAACGCUGGCGGCGUGCUUAACACAUGCAAGUCGAACGGAAAGGCCCCUUCGGGGGUACUCGUGUGGCGAACGGGUGAGUAACACGUGAGUAACCUGCCCUUGACUUCGGGAUAACUUCAGGAAACUGGGGCUAAUACCGGAUAGGAAUCCUUGCUGCAUGGUGGGGGUUGGAAAGCUUCGGCGGUUUUGGAUGGACUCGCGGCUUAUCAGCUUGUUGGUGGGGUAGUGGCUUACCAAGGCUUUGACGGGUAGCCGGCCUGGGGGGGCGACCGGCCACAUGGGGACUGAGAGACGGCCCAGACUCCUACGGGAGGCAGCAGUGGGGAAUAUUGCACAAUGGGCGGAAGCCUGAUGCAGCAACGCCGCGUGCGGGAUGACGGCCUUCGGGUUGUAAACCGGUUUCAGCAGGGGCGAAGCUUGUGGUGACGGUACCUGCAGAAGAAGCACCGGCUAACUACGUG
rnacentral:rRNA from 1 species